GGGAAAACAGCAACAGAAAUAGUUGGAGAGCAGUGAUCAUCCUAUGCAUUGCCUUACGUACUACAAAGGGAGGGCUGUCAUCAUCCGCAUAAAGCCCAAGCUUUCUGUACUAUGUGACCCUGCUUCAUUUUUAGGUUUGGGUUUAUAGCACCAGCACUUAAAAGGCUGUCUGGGCCAGGUCCUGUGGUCAGUGGAAAACACGUCUACCAAGGCAGACUAACCAACCCACCAGAGCUCAUGGAUACCCAGGUUCUUUGUUGUGCCUGUGGCCUCUGCAGAUGGAAGGUCUGAGUUCUGUGAAUGAAACACAGCAAUUCGGAAAGGAAACCCCACCGCUCACUGCAGUUCAAUGUGAAGUGGAGUACUCCUCCCCACACUUACAGAAGUAGGACGAUGUCCUUAAAGUUAAAAAAAAAAAAAGUCAUACAGCCAUAAAUAUCAAUGGCUGAAUAGUUUGUAGUACUUAUUUCAUUCUCGAGUUGUAACAAAGGUUGGUUUGAGCUGGCUUCUUAAAAAGCAUGUGGCAUUUCCAAGUCCUCACACCUCCCUUUAUGGGCUCAGCAGUGGAGACUGGUGGGGAAGGUCCUGCGUACAUGACUUUGUCACUUCCAGAAGGUGAAGCCCACAGUGUGGAGUUUCCGGGGCUGUGAGCAAGGUUCCUGUGUGUAGCUGAUCAUUCUCCCCCAGCACUGCAAAGCCGCUGUUACAAACUGGCCUCCCACCACUCAAGGCACACAGCACAGGGCAAUAAAUAUCUGCUAAAAGAAGUCAGACUGGUCUCCGGGAAGAGAUAACUCUGCUCCUUCUGUGAAUUCUUCAGCUGUACUGCAGACAUUACUUGUGCUGGGAGAUGGCGGUUGCUGGGGAAAAAACCUGAGAAACCCUAGUUCAUAUCCUCCCUCUGACACUUCUUAGAGGUUCCAGAACGGGAAGUUGCUUCCAGAGUUUUUUAUGUCCCCUCUACGGCGGCAGAUGCCGCAGAGUUCGGCUCCCGCAUGGGGUCCAGCCACCGUCCUCAGAGGGGCUUCCAUGCUGGCGCCCAGCUGCACGGAGCUGACGGCCGCACAUGAGGGUAAGCUGUCUCAUUAUACCUGAUCAGUUUUACAGAUGCAAAGUUGAGGCAAACAGAAUGAGGUUGCCACGACAGAGAACUUCAUAAAACGUUAUCCGGGGAUGAUGGAGAAGCAGGCGGGGCCGUGUCGAGGUCCCUCCGACUGUUUCUGGCCUCCCCAGCCUUUAGCUCCUCUCUAACCACCUCCGCCCCUAGCAGAUUGUCUUCCCCAGCUACCCUUCAUCUCUGCUACCUCUGUUGAGAGCUGGGGAAAACAUUGGCUUGCACAGCUCUUUGCACCUUGCUGGCUCAAACAAUGAUCACACAUCUACUCUGCCCUAACCCUGCCAUACGGAAAGAAAGGUCUGCGACAACAUGCUGGAGCUCUUAAUCAUAAAGCACAGCUCUGUCCCUACCCCCUUGGGUAAGGUCUAUCUGCAUGGUGGAUCUGGAGGGAAGGGCCCCCACAUCACCUCCUCCUGGGACCCUACCAGUAGUGAUUCAUUCAUUCCUUUAGGUGAAGCCUCAAGGAAUAUGCAACCUUCUACCUUUUACCUUGGCUCUGGCCACACUCCUUCAGACCCAUCCUGAGAGAAAAGUGCCCUCUGCUUAGCCUAGAGCCUGUGGAAGGAGAUCAAAAAGGGAGUCCUCUUCAGAAUCUUUAAAUUAACGGCACAGGGAAGGGAUUUAUGGGAGCACCCUUCUGUAGAUGCACAAGCUGUUUCUUCUAGAGCUAUUAGGGAGGCCGUUUUCCUGGAGGCGAGGAAGCACAGUGCGGGGGAGAAGGAGCUGUAAGGCAGAGAACUGUUCUCCCAGCCUGUGCAGGGGGAGACGGAGCCGGCCCUCCC
rnacentral:lncRNA from 1 species